rnacentral:rRNA from 1 species
GGGUCCGGACACACUGAGGAUUGACAGGCAAAAGAUACAAGUUUUCUUUGUGAGAGCUUGCAUUGUAAAAUAUGCGAGUCCUUUCAUGAUUAUGUGAUAGGUGGUGCAUGGCCGUUCUUAGUUCGUGGAGUGAUCUGUCUGCUUAAUUGCGUUUCACAACGAUUUAAAAUGCUAUGUUUUCUGUGUUUGCUGUUCGGUUUUGCUCUUACGGGAGUUUUAACUUUGAACGCACACGGCGUAGCUUAAAACAAUCGGAAAGCAACGAACGUGACCGCAACCUCUUGUUGCCUUUAUUUUUAAAAGCGUGGAAAAUUUUAUUUUCCUACGCUUGAAAAAGGCUUUAAAACUAGAGGGACCGCUGUUCUAUUCUCUUAAACCAGAGGAAGAUUGCGGCAAUAACAGGUCUGUGAUGCCCUCAGAUGUUCCGGGCUGCACACGUGCUACAAUGAUUGUUGCAGUGAGCAUCUAUUUUCAAACGCUACCGUUGCGGAUUUUGUGAGAAGGGGGAUUUGUUUUAAAGCUUUCGGGUGGAGAAGCAGGUUCUUUUUUUUCACAAUUUAUUCCGCGUUACGUGUCAGCUAAACCUGCUUCGAGAGCAAGUAGGU